rnacentral:rRNA from 1 species
CAGCAGCCACGGGAAUACGAAGGGGGCUAGCGUUGCUCGGAAUGACUGGGCGUAAAGGGCGCGUAGGCGGUUUUGACAGUCAGAUGUGAAAUUCCUGGGCUUAACCUGGGGGCUGCAUUUGAGACGUCAAGACUAGAGUGUGAGAGAGGGUUGUGGAAUUCCCAGUGUAGAGGUGAAAUUCGUAGAUAUUGGGAAGAACACCGGCGGCGAAGGCGGCAACCUGGCUCAUUACUGACGCUGAGGCGCGAAAGCGUGGGGAACAAACAGGAUUAGAUACCCCCGUAGUCCCUGUCUCUUAUAC